rnacentral:rRNA from 1 species
UACGUAGGCAGCGAGCGUUGUUCGGAGUUACUGGGCGUAAAGAGUGCGUAGGCGGUUUUCUAAGUUUGGUGUGAAAUCUCCCGGCUUAACUGGGAGGGUGCGCCGAAAACUGGAAGGCUUGAGUAUGGGAGAGGUAAGCGGAAUUCCUGGUGUAGCGGUGAAAUGCGUAGAUAUCAGGAGGAACACCUGCGGUGUAGACGGCUUACUGGUCCGAUACUGACGCUGAGGUGCGAAAGCGUGGGGAUCGAUCCGG